UCCUAGCCCCGAUUGCAGCGAAAAUCCUUUUUUGAAAAAAAAGAUUGCAGCAGAAAGCGGGAAAUAGC
rnacentral:sRNA from 1 species